AUGACACUUGCAUCUCUCUUAUGCUUUAUAAGAUAUAUAUAACGGAAUCUGCUUGAAUGCUGGCAAGAAACAUGAGGUGACAACAGGUGACGGUACCCGAACACAUUUCUAACCUCUCUUGGUCAAGUUAUUUGGGCAAUCCACGGCCGCAUCCUUAUAUAGGAAUAGCAAGUAACAUUGGGCAAAUCUUGAUGUCCUUGAGAGAGAGAGAGAGAGAGAGAGAGUUGGUGGGGGGGAGGAGAGGGUUAUAACCUUCCUGAUUAAAAUAAUUCGAUCAUCACCGAACAUGUGACCUAUGAGAGAGAUGGUACUGUGCGCAUGACCAAGAUUACGUGUCGGCCUGUGAUUGGUUAGGGGUAGGAAGGGAGGAGGGGGGGUAGAGGGGCCGAUAGGAGUCUUCAUAGAUAGACGGUGAGAUAAUGGGAUGAUUAAUGGUUUUUGUACAAUUGUUUACGUAGCGUACGAAUUGAAAUUGUUUAUUUACUGAGAUCAUAAUGUUUGCUCGAGAUUUUAAAUUGUGCUUGGUGGCUCGAGAAUUGAUAAGCAUAUUGACGGGAAGUUAGGUGCUACGAAAGAGAGAGUGUGGUUAUACCGAGUUAGACUCCGGUUUUACUGUGUACAUACAUGCAUAUAUACACUUAUACUUAUACAUACUGUGCAUAUAUAUAUUAUUUAUUCAUUCAAAUAAAUAAUAUAUAAAUAAUAUAUAUUAUAUGUGUGUCAAAUAUAGUCACUUCAGCAGGGGUAACUGGAGUUACAGCGUGACUGACCGACAAUUCUGUGAUAAUGAGCAAUGAUGAGUGAUGCCCUGAAUAGAAUCAAGUAGCUUUAUCAUCGCAAGCCUUUUGACAAGUCAUUGUCAAAGCCUUUGUCAAAGGUCACACUAUUAAUAUUAAAUAUGAGUUGCCGAGUAGAAAAAAUUUGAUGAGCGAAUGCAGAGUAGGAGGUCACGGCUACUGUAGGCCUAUGUUGGCAUCUUUGAAGUAAGCAUUUCAGAAGGAAUAAAGCCUAACCAGACUUACCUUUAUCUAAUCUGGUCGGAAGGAGGGGGGCGAACCCCCCAAGUAAAUUCUGACCCCCUACUCUGCAUUGUACCGAAGUGUGUGAAUGAAUUUGAGUAACUGAAUGGAAUGGCAACUUAUCGGUAAGAGUUAAUGGAAAUAUUUUUGAAAUGUGAUAAGGGAAGGAAUGCCAAUAGGUUAGUGAAGAGAUGAACAGUGAAUAGAAUAGCCAUACUAGUAUGAAAAUGAACGGUGUAGUGUGAAUAACUACAAUGAUGAACAAUUCAUAUUCGACACUUAACGAAAAAAGUGACGACAUGAAGGAUGAAAGUGUGAAAGGAAACAGUAGAAGUGUGAAUACAAAAUGUGAUGCUAAUUUGAGAGUGAAUAAAGUUACCUUCGUCACUGAACGGUGGAGGUCAAUUUGAUUAUAAACAAUGACGCUUGAAUUACAGGCCCUAGAGCAGAAGAGAAAAUAUAGAGUUUAGGUCAAGUACUGGGACCUACGAGGUCAUUCAGCGCUGAAACGAAAUUGAUAGUGAAAAGGCUUGAAGGGUGUAACAGGAGAAUAACCUCGCAGUUGCACUAAUAAAAAAAUUGUUAGGAAAGGAUGGAUGAAAGAGAAUAUGAACAGAGGUACACUAAAAGGAAUGAAAGGGGUUAAGCUAAGGGCCGAAGGGACACUGUUAAAAACCUUAAGUAAUGCAUACAGUGUACCGCAUGAGGUGCACUGACGGCACUAUUCCCUACAGAGAUUAGAGGGUGAAAGGUCAAAAAAAAAAAAAAAAAAAAACACGUUGAAAGCUGAUGGUUUUGGUAAAGCAGUUAAUACAAAUAUCAGUGUCAUUAGAAAAAAAAGUUCAUUGCUAAAGGAAAACAUGGUCACAUAUAUGUUAGGUUUGUUUGACAGUAAUGCUUUAAGCUUAGGUGGACAAAUAUCUCAAGCUAAAAGUGAAUUAUUAUUAUUAUUAUUAUUAUUAUUAUUAUUAUUAUUAUUAUUAUUAUUAUUAUUAUUAUUAUUAUUAUUCGGAAGAUGAACCCUAUUUAUAUGGAACAAGCUCACAAGGGCCACGGAUCUGAAAUUCAAGCUUCAAAAAAAUAUGGUGUUCAUUAAGAAGAUUUCUUGUAAGACUAGGUAAGGGGAGAUACAAAAAGGAACUCUCGCUCAUUGAAAAAAAAAGGAAAAUAAAUGAAUAAAUAUUAAAAAUAACUUGCUAAAAUGCAAGGAUAAUAGUAUUAGGUUAGUAAUACAUUAAUACUAAAGUAGACAGGUUCAAAAUUGUGAUCUAAGGUAAUGGUACAUUUGGCAGUAAAUGUUGUAGCGAUGGAGAACGGUUCAGUUGUAAAUGUAAAACAAAAUAAUAUACAGAUAAUAGUAGUGAGAUGACAGUUGUCAAGUACAAAACCGCCACAAUGUUGAAUGUAUGAAUGUGAGAUAUUCGAAGCGGCUCUAACAUGACGUGUUCAUGAAUGACAUAUUAACAUCAACCAAAGAGACGUUGCUCUUAAUGAGGAGAAAGAAUUUGCCAAAGCAUGAAGCGGAGGCGGUAGAGUUGAGGCCUGAAUCAAUGAUAAGCGAUUAAGAUAGGAAAACGUGUGUGUGUGUGUGUGAGAGAGAGAGAGAGAGAAGGCUGAUCAGCACUGGCGCCACUGCAGAAUAUUGUCAUGAAACUUUUAGUAGUGAAGAUGACUAAAUAAAGUUCAGCAGAUGCAAGGAAAGGAAACUUGAGUAUAAGGCAAAACAGAGAUGUUGGCACUCGCACAAGUGUCAAACAUUACUGCAAAAACAAGUUUUCCUUGCGAUCACCAUUUGAGUGUUUCUCCAGCCAUUAGCUGAAUGUUCUCCUCAUUAGCUGAGUAUUUAUCUUCUCCCUAGAUGGCGUAUGGAGUAGUCUUUCAAGCACAUUCUUUUUAAAGAGUAAAUCUUGAAAACUCCAUCUUUGGGGCUCAGUAGGUCUAGAGUUUUACGAGAGUGGUCAGUAAGUCUUAGAGUUUUAAGAGAGUGCUCAGUGGGUCUAGUUUUAAGAGAGUGCUCAGUAGUUUAGAGUUUUAAAAAGAGUGCUCAGUAGGUCUAGUUUUAAGAUAGUGCCCAGUAGGUAGGUCUAGUGUUUUAAGAGAAUUACUCACGGGAUCACAACACGACUUCGAACAGAACUGACGAAGUGAAGGUCAAAAUAAAGUGAAGGGGCGGAUUAAAGGCUUCACGUACCCGAUGGCGUAGCUGAUACCAAAAAACCAGUGCACGAGCCCCUGUGGUUUUGACAUCGGAGUCACACGAUAGUCAGACUACUCCAUUCUAGUGGAGUAGACUGAGGGCGAGGCUGUAGAUAAGAUAGCAGUCGUAUGAUCGUGGAUCAGGCACCAAAGAUAAAAGCAACGAUUCAUACCAGAAUGGAAAAAGAGCGAGAUAAAUAAUGACGAUUAGAUUAGAAACAUUAAAAUGUGAGUUACAAAAAAAAAAAAAAAAA